ensembl:lncRNA
GGCGGGUGAGAAGAAAAUGAAUCAAUGUGAAAAAGAUCUAAAGCUGCAUUCGUAUGAAAAACUAAAAAAAGACUGAGAUUUUUAUGGAAAAACUAAUGUUCUUUUUGGAGAAAAAAAUUAUUUCCAUACUGUAUGUUUUCCUGCAGUUUUCUUUUUUUUUGGUUUCUUCUCCUUCUUCUUUAUGUCUCCUUUUUUUCUUUUCUUCUUCAUUUAAAGUAAACUUGAAAGUUCACUACGGGAAUUGGCGCGCCAUCUUGCUUCUGGCGCCGACGACUAUAAAAAAGAAAACCUGCGCGUUCCGGCCCAGAAGCAGUCCACGCCAGUUCCUCUGAAAAAUAAGACUACUUCCAAACAGUUUUGAAUAAAAACUGUCUGAUCAAUAUUAGACUCUCUCCGAGCUCUCCAAUGGUUUUUACAUUUUUCAGGCAGUGUAAAGUUUUUUGAUAAGGCCAUUUUAAGUGGCUCUGUUUCUCAUUCAAAGUCUAUAUAUAGAACCACUUUUUCUAGAGUAGUUUAAAGGUAAAAAAUAAAAAAAGACAUUUGCCCUGUUUGGGUGGGAGAAAUGCUACCUACUUGUGUCACCUUUUGCUGAACUGACUCACAGAUAGACAAUCCGUGGUUUAAAUGCACAUGAUGAAAUGACCUAUAUUUUCUACUGUUUAAAUGUAUAGAGGAAAAAAAAAUACUAAGAUACCUGUAACCUGCGUUAACGUCGGUGCUUCUCGUGAGUUUAGUUGUGGUUUCAUCACAAGUCUAACGGUCUUAAAUGUCUCAUGUUUUUCAAGACUAAAAAAUCAGUUUACUUGAACAAUAGACAAAGCCUUUCAUAUUACUAUAACAGUUACUUUGUUGUGUCUUUACUUUUUGUUUCUUGUUUUUUAAGGAGUCCCUAUUUGCUAAAUUUCUUGUUGGUUUAUUAGCUAUAUAAAAUUCCUAAAAAUAUAUAUAAAUAUAAAUAUAAAUAUAUAUAUAUAUAUAUAAUGUCAGCUUGUGAAGCAUCAAUGUCAUUAUUAUUUUAUUUCUCUCGUGGGAAACAAAUAUUUAGAUGUGUUUUGUUGUUCGGCAAAAUGUCUUAUAAAGAAAAAAGACAACAUCAGUGGAGUUCAGUGCCAAAUUCUGAAGGUACUUCCUGCCUAGCGCGUCAGUGUACUUCUUGUGAAAUGAUUUGAUAACAUGGGUAUUUUAUUAUAAGUGUUUUGUAUGGAUCCCUCAUAUUUAAAAAUAUAGAUUUAAAAAAGAGUUUGUUAACUUGCUAUUCUGUGGUCUUGUUGCCUGAAAAUUGUCAUGUUUGCUUUUUUUUUUUCUUUGUAAAGAUGUAAAAAAAAAAAAGAAGAAAAACAAGGAAAAAAAGUGCCCAUGUGUCAUAUAUGUAUAUAUCUAUAUCUAUACACGCGCGCACGCGCGCGCACACACGUUCUCGUGCAGAACUCACAGUUUUACUUUCUUGUGCAUGAGAGCCCCCCCGAGUGUGAACGCCUCCACAGCGCCCGCACACACACACACACACACACACACACACACUUACAACACGCGCGCACACAGAAACGGGACUCGCGCACGGAAACUUUUCAGCCAUUUGUGCGCCGCUUCUCCUCGUGAAGCCUCACCGCCGACCUUUGCACUCCCGCGCUUUCUCUCUCGGCUCCACGUGUGUCCAAAACCUGAGGAUCAGUAAUUUUGUGUCCUCCACCCAGAGGAGCGCGUGGCUUUUGAUGACGUAAGCACAGGUCAGGGCUCACAGACGGCCCCGCCUCCUGAGGAGGAGGAGGAGGAGGAGGAAGAAAAGCACACUCUAUUUACUCCUUUUUAUUAUUUCACAACACGCUCUUUUUUCUGUUUUUAACGGGCAAAACAAUCACGUAGAGAUGCCAAAGUGUGUCAUUGACAUUCUCGUAGUCGAGCCGUUUACAAGGCAAAGUGUUGUUGAGUUUGUUCAACUGCCCCCCCCCCCCCCCCCCUCAAAAGCCCAGUUUACGGUCUGUGGGAAAAAAAGCAGCAUUAUUUUCUACAGAAGCUCACCAGUGGCCUUAACCAGGGAGCGUUGUACCAGUAUUACAAAGAGUCCAAGAUGUCGUCAGUCGCUUAGUGACGUGUCAGCCGAGCUUCACGUCCGUGGUCAGUUUCCCACAGUCGGGCUUCGAUUUGUAUUCAUUCUCCUGUUCCGAUUUGCACAAAGCGGAGAAGGGUGUUUUAUUGUGACGGUUUGGUCGUGGUCUUUGGAAACGGGGAGAGGCGUCUUAUUGUGAAGGUCUGGUCGUGGUCUUUGGAAUUGGGGAGAGGCGUCUUAUUGUGAAAGUUUGGUCGUGGUCAUUAGAAACGGGGAGAGGCGUCUUAUUGUGAAAGUUUGGUCGUGGUCAUUAGAAACGGGGAGAGGCGUCUUAUUGUGACGGUCUGGUCGUGGUCUUUGGAUUUGGGGAGAGGCGUCUUAUUGUGAAGGUCUGGUCGUGGUCUUUGGAAACGGGGAGAGGCGUCUUAUUGUGACGGUCUGGUCGUGGGUCAUUAGAAACGGGGAGAGGCGUCUUAUUGCAAUGGCGCUGGGGGAAAUAAGAUAGAAAGCGCGUGUUGAUUUGGAGAGGAACGGGGGGGGGGGGGCCCGUCUGCCGGGCCACCCCAUUGGGGAAAAAAACAGCUUUUACUGGGUUCACCUUGAAAAAAAAAUAAACGAUCCGGCUCCCUGUGUUCUCCCGGGGGGGGGAGACUUUUUGUUGGGCUAAAUGCCGGAACUUUUCCCAACAUGGGCCGGGCCCCACACCCCAAAAAAGCCACAACUACCUGGGCGAAACUUCCCACCUCGACUCCCCAUCUGUGUAGCGCGCAGGAGGUUCGUAGGCUGCCCCCCCCCCCCCCCCCAAAAGAACUACAUUCCCAAAGUGACACCGGGCCUGACGUGAACAGCCUUGCUUUGUUUUCGGAAGCACAAAAGAGGGGCGUGGGGGGGGGGGGGGUUGAGGUCUGUGGGGGGGUCAAAGCCUCAAUCGUCGUAAUCUCUUUUAACUUGUCACGUGUUCACUUCUCUGUUCUCUUUUCUUUCUUAAUUAUCUUAAGCACUAUUUAUCAAACGAUGAAAUCUGAAAGGAAAAAAAAACGUGUUGUUUCUUUGCAUUUUGGCUUCUGUCGAGUUUUUUGGGGAAAAAAUGUUGUGUGUGUUUUUUCCGUGCCGUAAAAAAAAGAAAAUACGCAAAAUAGCUUGUUGUCUGUAGAAAUGAUCCAAAUUGUUUGUUUUCUGUUUCUUUUAAUUCUCCAAACAGAAAGCGGGUUCUUGUCGAUGCAUUUCAGUGGAUCCUGUGAGCGUGAUGUGUGUUUGUUUGUCACCAGGUGGGAUUUCAAAAGUACAACAAAUGCAGGCUUUCCUAUUUCUACGACUGAUUGUACUUAUGCAUUUUGUACCAGUGCAACUUUUUAUACUGGAGAUUAAAGGAUACAACAACAACAAAAAAGAAUCUUAGCAAAUAGCUGUCUGGCCUUGUGGUGUGGCCCCCCCUCCUAGAAGAUUUCUAGAAGAUCUUUAUUUCAUUCACUUCUUUUUUCCCCUGUGAGCGUCGUUCUUUGUUUCUUCCUUCCUUUCUUUCUCCCCCCCCCCCCCCCACAAUAACACAGAGGGUAGGUGAGUGUCAGAUCUUUUCAAUUUUGCUUUUAAAAUAGUUCUAGCGAGUUUGUCUUUACAUAAGCGGUAAGUUUCAUUUGACUUCUGUAUUGUGCCGUCUACACGAUAAGACAAUUAUAGCAAAAGAAGGAAUAGAAAUAUUUAGUCACCUUCAGUGGAUUAAUGUGUUAGUUUAAUAAAGAGAUCAACUAAUUAGAAACUUUUUGCUUUUAGCUGUUUAGAUUUUUCCGGUUUCUCUGUCCUUCUCUGUGAACUAACUGUGUAGCUGAAGCAGUCAGAAUUAUUUUUGUAAAUGUAUGUUCUUGUGUGAUGCAGUUUUUUGCUUCUGUCUCCUAUAUUAAAC